rnacentral:lncRNA from 1 species
UACAACUGUAGCAUGAAAUUAAUUAGCCUAUAUAUAUAUAUAUAUAGAGAGAGAGAGAGAGAGAGAGAGCAAUGAUCCAAUGCAACAGUUAUAUCAUAGUACAAUGCGAUGACACUUCUCAAAAAGCAUGUUUGUGGUAAUUGUAUGACCUCAAAUUUUGCACACACAGUCUCUUUAUCUCAAUAAUCAAUCCCCUCAAAAAACAAAAUUCAAUUUGAAUCCUAGAUAUGAUCAAAAUGAGUCUCCUCCAAAAACUAAUCUAGACCAUUCAUUUUGUGACUUUCAAGAUCUUAGCAUUUAUAAACUCAAAAUCAUUUUUUUGUUUUUUAACAUUGUUCAUCUAAUGAUAAUAAAGCCAUCCAAAAAAUUUGGAAAUGAAUAAAUCCUUCUAAAGUCUAGAUCUAAACAUCUCACCAAAAUGAACAGCUUAUGUUAAUUGGGCUAAAAAAAAUACUUUAUAGGUUGUGUUUUAUUUUUUUGUGAUUGUUCAUUAGAAUGAAAAGAGAGUAUAUUUCAAAAUUUGGAUCAAACAAAUAGUCAUAAGAUAGUUUUUUAAUGUUGUUGCAUCGUAUUACAAUACAAUAUAUAUAUAUAUAUAUAUAAUACUACAAAACACCUAUAGGCGAAAAUGAACAGUGAUUUCGCCUACCCUCAUCAAUAGCCAAACUUCAUCGCACGGUCACAGUUGUCCGGUAAUGUUUUAAUUUUUUUUUUUUCCUUAUCGAAAUGAUCUGAAAUUUGGAGCGUGUGUACAUCUUAGUGAGGCGCACCUAAUAAAAAUAUGAAAAAAAUAAUUCACAAAGUAUAAAUUAAUCAAAAUACCCCUAUAACUUUUUGGGGGUAUUUUGAGCAAUUUAUAUUUUACGAAUUAGUUUUUUCAUAUUUUUAUUAGGUACACCUCACUAAGAUGUACACAUGCUCCAAUUUCAAGUAAUUUAGAUUUGUAGAGAAAAAAAAUAAAAAUAAAAAUACUACAAGACAACUGUGACUGUGUAAAGUUUGGAUGUUGAUGAGGGUAAACAAAAUUACUCUUCAUUUUCGUCAAUAGGCGUUGGGAAGAGUUUUCCUACGGGCUAGAUCCACAUGACUACAUAUGCUGUCCACAAAUUGUAAAACAUCCAUCUUUAAGAAGGAUGCAAGUAGGUGCUUCAUCUAAAAUAAUGAAAAUUAAUGGUCCAAAUAUUUUCUUACUACAAUUAUUAUUUUUAGUUUUUAAAAUUUACUUAUUUUUUCAUAUUCAUCUCCUGUCUUUAAAACUUUAGUCUAAAAAUCCAUCUCAAAAAUGAAUAGUAUAAAAGGUAAACCUUACAACAGCUAUCGAGCUAUAAUGAAUAGUAUAUAGGUAGAAUGUGAGCCGUCAGAUCUUCAUCAUACUGUUCAGAAUACAUAUUACUAUUUUAAUUUUAAGAUUUUUUUAUAUAAAUCUGAUUAAAAUGAAAUUUUGGGUGUAUAUACCUAACAUUAUUGCGCACCAUAUAAAAAUAUUUAAAAAAUUUAUUUUCAAUAAUUCAAUGACCAAAAUGCCCCUAUUACUUUUCAGGGGUAUUUCGAUCAUUUUAUAUUCUUAGAAAUAUUUUUUAUAUAUUUUUUAUUUGUGGACCUUAUUUUUUAGUGCACAUGUCCAAAAUUUAUUAUGAUCCGAUUAAUAAAAAAAUAAUUAAAAUUAAAAUAGUGAUAUGCAUUCUGAACCGUAUG